GAGCGGAUGAAGGGAGCUUGCUCUCUGAUUCAGCGGCGGACGGGUGAGUAAUGCCUAGGAAUCUGCCUGGUAGUGGGGGACAACGUUUCGAAAGGAACGCUAAUACCGCAUACGUCCUAUGGGAGAAAGCAGGGGACCUUCGGGCCUUGCGCUAUCAGAUGAGCCUAGGUCGGAUUAGCUAGUUGGUGAGGUAAUGGCUCACCAAGGCGACGAUCCGUAACUGGUCUGAGAGGAUGAUCAGUCACACUGGAACUGAGACACGGUCCAGACUCCUACGGGAGGCAGCAGUGGGGAAUAUUGGACAAUGGGCGAAAGCCUGAUCCAGCCAUGCCGCGUGUGUGAAGAAGGUCUUCGGAUUGUAAAGCACUUUAAGUUGGGAGGAAGGGUUGCUGAUUAAUACUCUGCAAUUUUGACGUUACCGACAGAAUAAGCACCGGCUAACUCUGUG
rnacentral:rRNA from 1 species